ensembl:ncRNA Y71A12B.29 ncRNA
UGCUGCUGAGUAGAUCUGGACAGGAGCAUUCCUACCACUGCGAUGUGGCCUUGCUGGGCAGCCAGAUGGAGGGGGAUCACGUUCUGAAACGGAAUUUUAAACGGGGUCACUGAAAAUUUCAAGUUACCAUUGUAGUACUGGUCGCGUCAACUUGCACUCCCUGAUUCAGAAGCAUCCGCACAAGACUGUCGUGUCCACUUUGAGCGGCUAAAUGGAGAGGUGUGA